rnacentral:rRNA from 1 species
GCUGGCGGCAUGCCUAUACAUGCAGUCGAGCGGAAUGACGAGAGCUUGCUCUCUGAUUUUAGCGGCGGACGGGUGAGUAACACGUGGGCAACCUGCCCUACAGAUGGGGAUAACUCCGGGAAACCGGGGCUAAUACCGAAUAAUCAGUUUGUCCGCAUGGACAAACUCUGAAAGAUGGUUUCGGCUGUCACUGUAGGAUGGGCCCGCGGCGCAUUAGCUAGUUGGUGGGGUAAUGGCCUACCAAGGCAACGAUGCGUAGCCGACCUGAGAGGGUGAUCGGCCACACUGGGACUGAGACACGGCCCAGACUCCUACGGGAGGCAGCAGUAGGGAAUCUUCCACAAUGGACGAAAGUCUGAUGGAGCAAUGCCGCGUGAGCGAAGAAGGUUUUCGGAUCGUAAAGCUCUGUUGUAAGGGAAGAACACGUACGGGAGUAACUGCCCGUGCCAUGACGGUACCUUAUUAGAAAGCCACGGCUAACUACGUGCCAGCAGCCGCGGUAAU